GGAAUAUUGGACAAUGGGCGAAAGCCUGAUCCAGCCAUGCCGCGUGAGUGAUGAAGGCCUUAGGGUUGUAAAGCUCUUUCACCGGGGAAGAUAAUGACGGUACCCGGAGCAGAAGCCCCGGCUAACUUCGUGCCCUCAGCCGCGGUAAUACGAAGGGGGCUAGCGUUGUUCGGAGUUACUGGGCGUAAAGCGCACGUAGGCGGAUCGUUAAGUCGGGGGUGAAAUCCUGGAGCUCAACUCCAGAACUGCCUUCGAUACUGGCGAUCUUGAGUCCGGAAGAGGUGCGUGGAACUCCUAGUGUAGAGGUGGAAUUCGUAGAUAUUAGGAAGAACACCAGUGGCGAAGGCGGCUCACUGGUCCGGUACUGACGCUGAGGUGCGAAAGCGUGGGGAGCAAAC
rnacentral:rRNA from 1 species